rnacentral:rRNA from 1 species
AUUGAACGCUGGCGGCAUGCCUUACACAUGCAAGUCGAACGGCAGCACGGGAGCAAUCCUGGUGGCGAGUGGCGAACGGGUGAGUAAUAUAUCGGAACGUGCCCAGUCGUGGGGGAUAAUGCAGCGAAAGCUGUGCUAAUACCGCAUACGAUCUACGGAUGAAAGCGGGGGAUCGCAAGACCUCGCGCGAUUGGAGCGGCCGAUAUCAGAUUAGCUAGUUGGUGAGGUAAAGGCUCACCAAGGCGACGAUCUGUAGCUGGUCUGAGAGGACGACCAGCCACACUGGAACUGAGACACGGUCCAGACUCCUACGGGAGGCAGCAGUGGGGAAUUUUGGACAAUGGGCGCAAGUCUGAACCAGCCAUGCCGCGUGAAGGAUGAAGGUCCUCUGGAUUGUAAACUUCUUUUAUAUGGGACGAAACCCGGGUAUUCCUACCCGAUUGACGGUACCAUAGGAAUAAGCACCGGCUAACUCCGUGCCAGCCGCCGCGGUAACAC